rnacentral:rRNA from 1 species
AGUGAACGCUGGCGGUAGGCCUAACACAUGCAAGUCGAACGGCAGCACAGUAAUAGCUUGCUCUUACGGGUGGCGAGUGGCGGACGGGCGAGGUAUACAUCGGAAUCUACUUUUUCGUGGGGGAUAACGUAGGGAAACUUACGCUAAUACCGCAUAUCAUCUACGGGUGAAAGCAGGGGAUCUUCGGACCUUUCGCGAUUGAAUGAGCCGAUGUCGGAUUAGCUAGUUGGCGGGGUAAAGGCCCACCAAGGCGACGAUCCGUAGCUGGUCUGAGAGGAUGAUCAGCCACACUGGAACUGAGACACGGUCCAGACUCCUACGGGAGGCAGCAGUGGGGAAUAUUGGACAAUGGGCGCAAGCCUGAUCCAGCCAUACCGCGUGGGUGAAGAAGGCCUUCGGGUUGUAAAGCCCUUUUGUUGGGAAAGAAAAGCAGCAGGUUAAUACCCCGCUGUUCUGACGGUACCCAAAGAAUAAGCACCGGCUAACUUCGUG